UUACUUAAAGCUAUCUGGGGGAAGGACUAUUACAUGCAGUGGGCACAGUCCCACCUUCCAUCCCUGCCCCCAUCUGCCUGUGUGCUUCGCUUGGUCUAUACUGUGGAAAUGAUGCACCUUCUGGGGUAUGCCAAGAGACUGUAACAUAACACUCUUGGCAAUUCUCACACCUGAUAGGAAAAGGAAAAACACAACAAAACAAAAAAUACUUCAUCAUAGCAAAAGAUAGUACCUGGUCCCUCUACGUAAGAUUUAUAUUCUGUGCCUCUCCUGGGCAGCUAAAUACCUGUGGAUUUCUCAACUCAAUAAACUUGGCACCAUUACUUGGUGCCAAGAUAAUUUUUGUUCCCUCACAAGAGUGUAGUAGUUACUGGCCUCUUCCCGUGUCCUACCUUCUGACGUCAAAGGUUAAACAAGCAGAAACGAUACAAUGGCCACACACACAACUCUGUUUUCUUCUGGGCCUGACCCAG
rnacentral:lncRNA from 1 species